rnacentral:lncRNA from 1 species
UGUAUGAUUUGAAACGGUCAAAUAAGAUGUUAAUAUUCAUCUCGAUCGAAAAUAAUAUCAGCUAUACUAAUAUUACCUUUCGCAAACAAUAAAUAUUUGAAUCUUUUAUUUCCUCACAUAGUUUUUCAUUCAUUCAGAAUGUAAAUUAAGCUACAUGGGUGAGGCAUCAGGACCUCAAAGGAGGCGGAAACAAAGAAAAGAUGGGUGUUGUUUACAAGUUACGGUUAAGUCCGCUAACCUGUCAACAAGAUCUAUCUAUAGAUCAGAAAUUCCCCCACAUCCUCAAAUAGUUGGUGAAUGAGGUGAUGCAUUUGCUUCAAAUAGAUCCUGCUCAUUGAAAGGGAAAAUUUUGUAGGCGCAAUUAAUUGAAGAAUAGUGGUUUUAGUCCCUUUCAUUCAUAUAAUAUAAUAUAUAUAUAUAUAUAGAGUAAGGCUGCUGUGCUCUCAGGAGCACGGAGGCCUCCGUGCUUCUGAGCCGUUUUCGAUGAUGGAGUUUUCGAAUCGACGAUCGGCUCCGUUAAACUUGAUCUACCGUAUUUAAAAUUUCUAGAAAAGAAUUUUUACAAUUUUUUGAUAUUAUUUGCCUAGCAAUUGAAAUGAUUCAAAAUCAAUAAUUUUUAACGGCUGAAAAUAAAAAUUCUAUAAAAAGUGGUGAUAUAGCACUAAAAUUUUCGAUCAGAAAUAUAGAUCUUGUUGUAGAUAGUAUAAAAAAUUUUCUAUCAAAAUUUCAUCUGAUUUGAAUACUUCUACACCGUUAAACUUGAAAACGGCAGAUAUCAACCAUUAAAAAUUAUGGAUUUUGAAUCCUUUCAAUCACUAGAUAAAUGAUAUCGAAAAAUCGCAAAAAUUAUUUUCUGGAAACUUCAAAUGCGCUAGAUCAAGUCUAACGGAGCCGAUCGUUGAUUCGAAAAUUUCAUCAUCGAGAACGGCUCAGGAGCACGUGCUCCUGAGAGCACAGCAGCCUCUCUCUCUCUCUCUCUCUCUCUCUCUCUCUCUCUCUCUCUCUCUCUCUCUCUCUAUAUAUAUAUAUAUAUAUAUAUAUAUG